rnacentral:rRNA from 1 species
UACGAAGGGGGCUAGCGUUGCUCGGAAUCACUGGGCGUAAAGCGCACGUAGGCGGCUUGUUAAGUCAGGGGUGAAAUCCUGGAGCUCAACUCCAGAACUGCCUUUGAUACUGGCGAGCUUGAGUUCGGGAGAGGUGAGUGGAACUGCGAGUGUAGAGGUGAAAUUCGUAGAUAUUCGCAAGAACACCAGUGGCGAAGGCGGUUGCCUGGGGCUUUGCUGACGCUGAUGCGCGAAAGCGUGGGGAGCGAUCCGG